rnacentral:rRNA from 1 species
CGAGUCUUAACCGGGCGUUAAGUUGCAGGGUAUAGACCCGAAACCCGGUGAUCUAGCCAUGGGCAGGUUGAAGGUUGGGUAACACUAACUGGAGGACCGAACCGACUAAUGUUGAAAAAUUAGCGGAUGACCUGUGGCUGGGGGUGAAAGGCCAAUCAAACCGGGAGAUAGCUGGUUCUCCCCGAAAGCUAUUUAGGUAGCGCCUCGUGAAUUCAUCUCCGGGGGUAGAGCACUGUUUCGGCUAGGGGGCCAUCCCGGCUUACCAACCCGAUGCAAACUGCGAAUACCGGAGAAUGUUAUCACGGGAGACACACGGCGGGUGCUAACGUCCGUCGUGAAGAGGGAAACAACCCAGACCGCCAGCUAAGGUCCCAAAGUCAUGGUUAAGUGGGAAACGAUGUGGGAAGGCCCAGACAGCCAGGAUGUUGGCUUAGAAGCAGCCAUCAUUUAAAGAAAGCGUAAUAGCUCACUGGUCGAGUCGGCCUGCGCGGAAGAUGUAACGGGGCUAAACCAUGCACCGAAGCUGCGGCAGCGAACGUAUCACUUAAAGCGAUUCAGCGGGUUACGAUUGACGGAGCGAAGCGACGUCAAAGCGUAUACAAAGUCGAGUCGGUUUAAGGAUACGUUCGUUGGGUAGGGGAGCGUUC